ensembl:lncRNA
GGCCGCGGCUCGCACCUGGCGGCCGGCUGAGCGGCUCCCGCGUCAGGCACAGCCCUCCAGAGACGCGAGGGCUCAGCAGAGCCUCAGAGAAGGGGCCAAGCAGUUAUUCUCGCACACGGGCUUCUUUCAGUCACAGUAAUGGGCGCUGACAAGAUUCCCCUUAUGAUCGGUUGGCUGCUCUGUCCUUCGUGUUUUGCAACACGAGGAAACGUAGGAAACUGAACUCUGACAGGAAAUCGGUAUAAAGCACUGUCCGUGUACGUGAUGGUGCACAGACGAUUGGCAGGGCCUGCUUCUGUCGCACCCCCAGAGCUCAUGAGGGGUUCCCUUAAGGGUGCACCAGCCCAGCGUGGCCUCGGCUGCCCCACAUCUGAGGCGUGAUGCAGCAGCACGUAGGCCAUGGCAGCAGGCGACCCUCAGCUUCCAGGCUCCCCAGAGCAUGCUUUUUUCUUAGUUAUCUUUCAUAGAGAAUUCUGGAGGUCUGUGAAUGAGGUUGAAAAGCACUGGGCUGAAGAACUGUUGUCACUGAGAAUUCCAUGGGAGAUAGGUUAAGCAUAUUCUUAUCUGUCCGUGUUUGUGCUAGGUAGCUGAAGCUAUCGGCUAGCCAGGGAAUUCUGCUGGCCAGGAUUGUCAGCAUAUUCUCCAAACGGAGAAUAAACAGUGCUUCUGAAUCAGCCCAUCACUAUGACCUUGCAGUAAGUGCCCAGCCUUAGCCCAAAACUAUCACAGACCAGGAAAAACAGACCAUGAUAAUGUGAAUGUAAUGGCAGGAAGUCACGAUGGAGGAAGCCAGCAGUAUCUUCCCAUCAGCAGAAGAUUGCUCUUACUGCAUGUUUUGUAGUCUUACUUAUUUUAGUUUCAGUACUCCCUAAGAAGCACAAGUAGUGACUAGGAACAGAAGUCACGCUUAUUUGGCGUAAUAAUAUGAUAAUGUCAGAAAUACUUUUUGACCAGUAUAAGCUAGAAUACACAACCUUAAAAAGGAUUACAUAUAUAUACACAAGCAAGUUUCAGGGGCAAGAUGAAAAUGCGAGAUUAUGUGCAGUGUAAGGCUGCUGUAGGAUCUAAAAAAAGUCUUCUACAGCUGGUUUAAAUCUGAAAUUUCCUGUACAGCAUUAGACAUUUUUAGUGAAUUGGAUGAUACACUGUCAUGCUGGAAUCAGAAUUAUUACAGUAACUUUGAACUUCUGAUACAGUUCAUUUAAAGAUUGAACUGUACAAGAAAUGAUUCCUGUUUGUAUACUGGGAAGGUGGGAAUGACAUUAAGAAAACGGGCCUUGCUAAUUAAAAGGGUAUUACUAAAUAGUAUCAGUUUUUUUUGUUUUAGAUGAAGUAUGUUGUCUAGGACCUAAACUGGAAUUGCUUCUACAAUUGGAUGUAUUUUGAGAGCUCUUGUGACUUCAGCAAGCCACUGCUGAUCUAAAAGUUUACCUGUAUGGAUUGGUUUGCAGGCUUGUGGCAUAGCUGCAGUGCUUAAGGACAGAAUAAUCUGAAAUACAACUAUUGGGGUUGCUUUUAUACAUUGAGAGUUUUUUAGCUCAUUAAGACUCGGAUGUUAAUAGAACUGAGGACCAGCUGAGGACCACCAACGUUUCUAGUCCAAUUCUUUAAAUUAGGGGGAUGCUGUGAUGUUAAUAUUAAAUUCAGAUUAAAAAGAGAAGAAUAAUAGAAUAGAUGUGAGUAUUAAAAGAGAAAGUUAAGUUACAAGAAAUUUGCCAAAGAAAUAGAUGUGCUAUAUUACAAAAAAAAAAAAGAAGCAAAAAGAUUUGCAAAUGUUGAAUAAAAACCUGAUAAGAAAGUUUUAGUUUGCAGCUUUGCAGUGAAGAUAAAGAACACAUGCGAAACAAAAAACAAAAAUAUUCAAGAAUAAAAGGAAACAAGAAAAGAUACUAGUUGUAGCUUUUUGUCUAUCGACAUACUAGAAUGAAAUCAAUCUAGAAAAGCCCUGAAUCUAACAGGUAUUGCAUCUGUACUGUAUGGGAGCUCUGUUAGGUGGUAGUCUUCUUGCUGAAUUAGCACUGACUUGAGAUCACCAGUGAGGCUGAGUUUGUUGCCCAAUCAGAGGAGCCACUGUUUCCUCUUAUUUGAGAUUAAUCAUCAAAUGUCAUGUCUCAGUAUGUGACCUGAAUAAACUAACCUUGACAGGUACAUUAUUGAAAAGCCUUCCCUCUUAAAGCCCUCUUUCUAGGCUUCUUCUGGUAAACUGUAGGUCCAGUGACCAGUUCCCAGUCUAUUUGCAGAAAAGGAUGUGUUGUAUCUAAGUUGAGCUACGUAGAUAAAGCACAACUGGUCUAUACAUGACAAGAAUAACUUUACCAUACUCCAAAAUGUGGCCAUUUCACAGUUGAGAUACAGACUUUACUGUAAAUAGCAGAGGAGUUUAGGAGAGAUUCUGAUGAAACUUUAGGGAAGGCUGUGAAAGAUCGUGCAAGUUAGAAAGAAAGCUACAACUAACACCUCUCCAGUUUUUAGCUCAUUGCUUUAUUUGAGCACUGUAACUGCAUCUUGUUGCUUUACAUCUUAGAGUUGCACAAAUUCUGAAGGAAGUGCACCAGUUAACUCAUCUUCUGUCAGGUGCAGUGCCAGCAGUACAUGGAAAUGUCUUUUCUGUUUGUACACUCCUUUGAAACUUCUGAGUUACAAUAUAUUAUUUCUGGUUUCAAUAGGCCCUUCUGCCAGUGACCCUGUCUUUAAAGGAAGGUAUUACUGAAGGAUUGUUGGUAUGUGGUCCAGCUCAGUGUUCACAUGUGUGUUACACUGUUCCUCCAUAAAGUGGUUUUUUUGUCAUACAGAAGUCUAGAAUGCAACUGGACAAGAUAGGCAGGAAUGCACGCUGGUGCGGUGUAUUCUGUACUGUAUUCUGUAAAAACUGGAACUCAGUUGUUUUAAAAGGCUGGGAUUUAAAUUGAAGGACUGGUAGGGAAUCAGUUCAACAAGUUACCUUAAAACUAAAAGGGCAACAAGCAGAAUACCUGUAAAUCACAGGCCUGAAGAAGUAACUAGGACACAAAAAACAGUUCAGGGAGGUGUCUUCUGAAUUUGAGGCAAUACAGUCAAGUAGUGGAACAACUUCAGUAAAAUCUGGAGAGCCAUAUGGUUCUGGUUUUUAAACAAAAUAUUUGUGUGGUACCAAAGAAAAACAAAAUAAUGUCAAGGUUUUGAAUCAGACCACAUUUACUCAAAUCCAACCUCAUCCUGAAUGUUGGCCUUCAUCUUCAGUUUAAACCUUAGCAAACAUGAAAAGAGAUUCAGCUGCUAUUCAUAGGGAUUGCACUCAAUUUCUGCAUCGCAUAUAGACCCGUUUGCUUAGGAAUAGAAUCUUUUGACAGGACUGCAGGACAAACUGGCAGGUUGACUUGAGAGGUUUCAUUUGUCAGCACAAGGUAGUUGGAGGUAGUUGCCUGACUUGAGUUCAUCCUGUUGAACAUGAACAGAGAAAUUAUUCCUUGCCUAGUGUGAAAUUGUCAAGGAAGCAGCAAUGGUUAGAGGAAGGUGUUGGCUGGGGUUGUAUCACCAUCCCCCAGAAAGCACCUCCCUAUCCUGUGAUGAAUGGCUACCAGAGUACAAAUUUUGCAAGGUGGGAGCAGGCUCGAGCAGUAGGUGUGGUCUGACCAGAAGCUGAGCUAACCUGACAUCUCAAUGAGCUUGACUUACACAUAUGCUAGGAAACCAACUCUGCAAAAAUACUCCUCCGCACUGCAAGCUAAAUUGUGUCAAAUGGUGCAGGACUGGACAGGGCUUCAGGGGUGGAAGCAAAUGAGGAGGGGUAGGACUAUCUUCAGCAGGAAAUUGCUGUGUUGAAGUGUCUGUCAAGAGGCCAGGAUUUCUAGCACCCAGAGAAGUGCAAAUAGCACUCAAGAGCAUCUGAAAAGUCUACUAUUCUGUAGGUCUGCCAUGGAUAUCAAAGGCUGUGUUAGUCUGCUGUACAAAUGCAGUAAUAUACAACUGUAACAUUAUAAAAGGCAAAUAAUAUUUAUUAAGGUAAAAUUGGAUUUUAGCAGUUUUCCUAUUUUAAAUGGUGAAGGCAACUCUAAAAGUAUUGGUUUCUGCCUGGAUGUCUCAAUUAAGCAACUCCAUUUAAGAAAGGUCAAAGAGAAAUCUCCAGUACCUGGAUCCAGCUGUUCACAGGGGAGACAUUUGAUUCCAUUGAAGCACUUGCAUCCAGUGGAAGUUGUUCAUAGGAUAAGGAAAGGCCUCUCAAACUAGUGGACGGUACAGCUGACAGCAGUAACACACCAGCUCCAGCUUCUUUCUGCAGUUGCCCAAAGAUGUGAGGCAUGCAGCCUAGCUGCAGAAGGGGAAGAACCUAUGAAUAAGUAGUCUAAUCACCCAGUCCAUGCACACAUCUAAAGGCCAUGACUCUUCUCAAACACUGGUGACAGAUCUUCAAAGAAUGAGGCCAACAGGAGAUCUGUCCAAGCUCUGCACAUGCCUGUGUGUGAGAACAGUCAUCAUAAACAUUUUUUAUUGCCUAGUCAUUUUAUUUACAAUUUUUUAAGCAAUUAGGAUGAAAAGAGUCAUGUUGCAUUUUAGUCAGAAAUUAUUCCUCAUUCAUUACAGCUGUAGCUUCCUAAGUGACAUUAUUUUUGUACUUUGUGCCAAUUGCCAAAGUCCAUGAGGAUCUUUUAGUAUUUGACCCAGUAAACAGGAACUAUCUGUAACGUUAGUGAAAACUAAUUCUGCUGGUUGUAAUUUCUAUAGCGUUAAACUGUGCAACUAAAGAACUUCAGUGCGCUACGUAUGUUUUUUCCCCCAUUAAUUGUAUUGUCUUGUUUUUAUUUGUGUGUACUUUUAAAUAAAGAGUAUGGUAGUUACAUCUACUCUGUAAAA